rnacentral:sRNA from 1 species
AGCAGCCGCGGUAAUUCCAGCUCCAAUAGCGUAUAUUAAAGUUGUUGCAGUUAAAAAGCUCGUAGUUGAAUUUCGGGGUUCUACCGUUGGUCAGGCUAUAGUCUGUACUGGCGUGUGGAAUUUCUACCUUCUGGGGAACUAUCAUGUUAUUAAUUUAGCGUGGUAGGAAACCAGAACCUUUACCUUGAAAAAAUUAGAGUGUUCAAAGCAGGCUUACGUCUGAAUACAUUAGCAUGGAAUAAUAAAAUAGGACGGUGGUCCUGUUUUGUUGGUUUCUGAAUCACCGUAAUGAUUAAUAGGGAUAGUUGGGGGCAUUAGUAUUCAAUUGUCAGAGGUGAAAUUCUUGGAUUUAUUGAAGACUAACUUCUGCGAAAGCAUUUGCCAAGGAUGUUUUCAUUAAUCAAGAACGAAAGUUAGGGGAUCGAAGACGAUCAGAUACCGUCGUAGUCUUAACCAUAAACUAUGCCGACUAGGAAUCGGACGAUGUUAAUUUUUCUUGACU